rnacentral:rRNA from 1 species
UACGAAGGGGGCUAGCGUUGUUCGGAAUUACUGGGCGUAAAGCGUAUGCAGGCGGAUCUUUAAGUCAGGGGUGAAAUCCCGAGGCUCAACCUCGGAACUGUCUUUGAUACUGGAGAUCUUGAGUCCGGGAGAGGUGAGUGGAACUGCGAGUGUAGAGGUGAAAUUCGUAGAUAUUCGCAAGAACACCAGUGGCGAAGGCGGCUCACUGGCCCGGUACUGACGCUGAGAUACGAAAGCCAGGGGAGCAAACGGG